UUGGUGUGGGUUUGAGUAGCAUACUAAAAGAACAGGUUGGUUGAAAACGUGGUUCAAUUUUAGGGUUGUGGAUGUGUCUUUUCUUUAUCAGCAGUUACACUUGUGCAUGAUAUGACCAUCUUAGUCUUAUUGCAGGUAAAGUUGCAGGGUCAAAUAAUUUGCAGUUCAAAUGCCGGGUGUCAACUGUCAAGUGUCAACUCUUAUUGAUAUCUCAUAAUUUCUUUUGAACUGUACAAGGGAUACAUAUCUUUACCAGGUCCCUUUACUCUUUUUGCUUAUAAAACAGAAAAAGGAAAGUGAACAACUUUUUAAUAAAGAAACUUCCCUCUCACAUGGUUAGACAAUAAAGGAACUGGGGGGGAUUGGAGUUGGACAACUCCAAUGUUGAGAAACGCGAGUUUUGUACCAUCCAGAUUCCAGGGCGGAUUUUGUUAUCUUCUUCCUUUUGGAUAUUAGUCUGUUUUGUGAUGUUAUCGUUGUUGGCGGUGCAGUCAUUGCUCUUGUUGGCGAUUUUUCCUAGAGAAGUCCACCAGCUUUAGUUUAGUUUAUUUAUGCUGAAGACGAAACUAAGAGACGCAUUCUCC
rnacentral:lncRNA from 1 species